AGCUCAAUUUGAAAUCUGGCCCCUUCUGGGUCCGAGUUGUAUACUCUAGAGAGUGCUUUUCCGUUGACCCCGGUCUAAGUCCCUUGUAGCAUGGGCUCACAGAGGGUGAGAAUCCCGUAUGCGACCGUGACUCGAGCCCGUGUGAAGCCUCUUCGAAGAGUCGAGUUGUUUGGGAAUGCAGCUCUAAGUGGGAGGUAAAUUUCAUCUAAAGCUAAAUACUGGCUGGAGACCGAUAGCGCACAAGUAGAGUGAUCGAAAGAUGAAAAGCACUUUGGAAGGAGAGUCAAAAAGUCCGUGAAAUUGUUGAAAGGGAAGCGCUUCCACCCAGACCUGCCCGUAGGCGAUCAGCCGCUGUUCUCAGCGGUGCACUCGGUCUGCGAUCAGGCCAGCAUCGGUUUCGGCGGUUGGAUAAAGGCCUCGGGAAUGUAGCUCCCCUUCGAGGGAGUCUUAUAGCCCUCGGUGCAAUGCGUCCAGCCGAGACCGAGGCCCGCGGUUCGGCUAGGAUGCGGGCGUAAUGGUUGUAAGCGCGCCGUCGUGAAACCCGGACCAAGGAGUAUAACAUCGAAGAGAGUGUUUGGGUGUAAAAUCCAUGCGCGGAACGAAAGUGAACGGAGGUGAGAACCCUGAAGGGGGCAUCAUCCACCGAUCCAGAGAUAUUGGGAGGGAUUGGGGUAUGAGCAGGGCGCAUGGGCGACGAAAGGUGAUCUUUUACGAUGGAUAUGACUAAGAGCAUAUGUGAUGGGACCCGAAAGAUGGUGAACUAUGCCUGAAUAGGGUGAAGCCAGAGGAAACUCUGGUGGAGGCUCGCAGCGGUUCUGACGUGCAAAUCGAUCGUCAA
rnacentral:rRNA from 1 species